rnacentral:rRNA from 1 species
UACGUAGGGGCCUAGCGUUGUCCGGAUUUAUUGGGCGUAAAGAGCUCGUAGGCGGCACGGUUAGUCAGGUGUGAAAUCUCCACGCUCAACGUGGAGGGGUCACCUGAUACUGCCGAGCUUGAGUCCGGUAGGGGAGUGUGGAAUUCCCGGUGUAGCGGUGAAAUGCGUUGAUAUUGUGAGGAACGCCGGAGGCGAAAGCGGCGCACUGGAUCUCUUCUGACGCUGAGGCGCGAAAGCUAAGGGAGCAAACGGG